CUCUUCAUCAGAAUCACCACUCUCCCGAAACCUUGGAUUCUUCUCCGGUCUUGAUUCGUGAUCGGGGUUUCUUCUAGACUCAUAAUCUGAAGUUCUCUUAGAGCUUUCAUGGGCAUGGCGAUCAUCAUCUCGAUAACGCUUACGAUGGUGAUAAUCUCUAUGCCGCCAGUCAUGCCUAAGUAUGGAAAACAUGGUGGAAGCCACG
rnacentral:misc_RNA from 1 species